rnacentral:rRNA from 1 species
CUGGCGGCAGGCCUAACACAUGCAAGUCGAGCGUGAAAGGGGCUCGGCCCUGAGUAAAGCGGCGCACGGGUGAGUAACACGUGAAUAAUCUGCCCUUAGACCGGGAUAACAGACCGAAAGGACUGCUAAUACCGGAUAAGCCCACAGACCAACCGGGUGUGUGAGAAAAGCACGGGACCUUCGGGCCGUGCGCUAGAGGAUGAGUUCGCGUCCCAUUAGAUAGUUGGUGAGGUAAUGGCUCACCAAGUCGACGAUGGGUAGCUGGUCUUAGAGGAUGAUCAGCCACACUGGAACUGAGACACGGUCCAGACUCCUACGGGAGGCAGCAGUGGGGAAUCUUGCGCAAUGGAGGAAACUCUGACGCAGCCAUGCCGCGUGAGUGAUGAAGGCCCUCGGGUUGUAAAGCUCUGUCUAAGGGGACGAAUGUUGGUUGAAACAAGACAUCAGUCAAGUGACGGUACCCUUAAAGAAAACACCGGCUAACUCCGUGCCAGCCGCUGC